CGGUAAUUACUUGUUUUUAGUGAUAAUUAUCUAGAAAGCUAAACGCACCUGUAUCAUGCUUUAGCUCACCACAUUGUGAUUUUUUUCUCCUCAUUCAUGAAUAAACAUUUGUAUUUUUUUAAGAAAGUCGUCUCCAAAUUAAGUUAAAGAGAGCGAAUUGUAGAAAUGGAAUUCUUGACCUCCAUCAAAAUCCCUUAUUUUGCUCCGAUGAAAGUAAUAAAAAUCCACAAUCGACGACGGUGGCGGAGUUGCGAUGGUUUUGUUGCAAAUCAGGUCGGAUUUGAGCUAUUUGAGAAACUGCUAGAAGUUGGGAUUGUCUGGUUAAAGUGUGGUGCGUUUGAUUUGAAGCCCCAGAUGACAUCAAGAUGCACCUAAUGCUCUGUAAUAAAGUCCCAUGCCUUUUAUUGCAUCAAUUAAUUUUUUAUACUUUCGUAAUGCAUGUAGUAACUUUGAUUUUGAUGCAUUUUAUUGUGAUUUGGACUCUUUGUAUCGUUAUUUUUUUUUCUUUAAAAUUUGCUUGCAUGAAUUCGACAGCUAAUUCUCCUCCUCCUCCUCCUGUUAUUAUUGCUUUUGUUUCUGCUAUCAAGAGAGCUGCUAUCUCUGUUCCUCACGUAGCUGGAUCAUCGCCUCUCACCUCCUGGUGACAGGUUAGUUUUUCAACUACCAAAACUUAUAUUUUAUAUGUGUUUAUUAUACGUUAUAUGAAAGAUUUUGUUUGUUUGUAGCUUGGAUAAUAAAAAGUAAAUUUUUAUUUUCUAAGAGUGAAGAAGUUUUAGGAUUAUUGACAGGAAAAACUUUAUGUCGGUUAUCAAUAAUGAGCCCAUGGAAAUCGAGCUCUUGAUUUCUCUGAUAUUCUAGUUUCAAUAUAAUUUGUGAAUUAUCUUAUUUUGAUCUUUUUUCAGUUUUUUAUACUCAGAUCAUGAUCAUCAUUAGUUUGAUAGCUUCUAGUGUAUAAUUGGAUAUUUUAAAGUUGUAAAAUCAUAUUGUUAUUAGGAAUGGCAAUGGAGAAGGGAAGGGAGGGGAGGGGAGGGGAGGAGAGGGGAUUAAUAUCGCCAUACCCAUCCUCGAUUCUACUUAUGUCCCUGCACCCUCUUCGUCCCCAUUAUAAUUACUUAAGGGGAGGGAAUGUGGAUUCCCAAAGAUACCCGAUCCCCGAAUCACUGAUACUUACGGGAAGAUAAAUGUUACAUUUGCGCCCAUAUCUUAAAUAUAAUGCCAUAUGAAUUGAAUGAGUGCACAUGAUUUAUUGAAUAUAACCAGGUAGUAUCAUUAUUUAUUGAUUCAUUUUAAUAGUUUAUGGCUGGAGUACAUGUAAUUUGGCUUUAAAUACUACUUAAACUAUUUAGAACGGUUGACUAGCUUUUGAAGUUUAUAUUUAAAAAACCAGCUUUGGACUAAUUUUAAGGGCAAUUCCCUGUAAACUUUAGAUAGAUAAAUCGAGGAAACAAUUAUUUCGGUGGCCUAUUGUUGAAAUCGAGAAACUUUGCAUUAACUAAGCAAAAUGUCACUGAAGAUUUCUGGCUGAAGUUUCAAAUGUUCUAUUCAGGUUAAGUUCAUGUUUAAUUCAAUUCAAGUAUAUGACACUAAAUUAUCAUGGCCUUGUCCCCCGGUACGGUGAUAAAGUGAAUUUUGAUACAAUAAAGUGCUUAACUUUCUAAAAUUAAUUACCAACACAAGAGUGAGAUGUGAAUCUCUAUUCUUUUGUUUCUUUCUUUUCUUUUUCGAUAUUUUAAAGUUAAUUCUUUUACAUUUUAAACGAAUAUAAAUAUAAGGAAGUUUUUGCAUGCAAAAAGUGUUGCAUACUCCUUCCUCCAUUUUGCCUAAUUAAUAUGUGUAAAAUAUACAGUGAAAUGGGGUUUUGACAUCUACAUUUUAAUAACUAUUUUUCUUGAACAUUUCAAAAGCUGCAUAUGGUAAUUUUAACUUUGUUUAGGUUGCUCCGUAAUGGAGGUAUAUUUUCCCAAAAUAUCCUUAAACUUGAUGUUUAUGUAUUUAGAUAAAUGACUUGAAAAUUUGAUUGGUAGUAGAGUAUUAGUAUUAAAAAUAGUUUGAUUAUCAAGUGAUAAGAAUGUUAUUUUGUGCUUAUAUUAUAAUUUAUACCUAUGUUUAUGCAAUAUAUUAGGAAUUAUUAAUUAUGUUUUAAUUAUAUUUAAUUUUUGUGUAUUUUUGUGUGUUUAUUAGGUAAAAUAUUAAUUUAACCUAAUUCGAGGUUCCAAACAGAUAAACUGAUGUCAAAUUUGAAUUUCAGAGAUCUAAAAACCUUAAGAUGAGUCAAGACCAGCUUAAAAUUGAUAUUGUACAAAAAGUUGAUUUUUUCUAUUGACCAAGCAUUGAUUGGAUGAUAAAAUGAGCUUACAAUAGAUACGAAUGCAUUGGAUAGCUAUCAAUUUUGACUAAAUCUCAACCAUUCAUAAUUCAAUGGCCACGAUCGUGCCACGUGCCAAUGGUUGGUGAAGUAAGUUGAAGGAUCCAAACCUUUGUAUUUGGGUUGACCCAAUCCACCCAUUAACCUUCUAAAUCUCAACCAUUCUUUGACCGAAUCAGAUGCUUCAUAUGAUGCCACAUGUAAUGCUAACUUUUAAAGUUUAAUCAGCUGUUGGAUCUUGACCUAAUGGUUGUGUGGAGCACGAGCACAAAGCUUAUGAUGGAUCACAAAAUACUAGAUUAUGAAUGUAUUUUUCUAUGUCUUAUUUUUAUGUUUUGAGCAUCUCUCUUCUUCUUGAUUUCUCUCUAAAAUUCUAUGUAAUCUUAUAUUAAUAAAUCUCAGUUGUGUUUUAAUAUUUUGUAUAAUUAUUUUUAUAAAUAAAAUUAGUUUUAUUUUCAAUUUUAGUUGUUUUUAUUCCUUUUAAUUAUGUGUAAUUUAAUUUUAAUAAUUAUUUUUAUUUCAAUUAUGUUUUGUUAAAUAAUAAUAGUUAGGGUAAGGUGAAACUCUUAGGAAAUAAAUAUGAUUUAAUCAAAUUCUAUUUAAUUAUAUAAAUUAAAUUAUUUUCUAUUUAAUUUUAUACAUUUUUUAUAUUUUGAAAUUUUGAUUUAUUGUAAACAAAUAAAGGAAUUUUGGCACAAUAAAUUCUUAAUAUCUUAAUAUAAGGUAUGGUAAAAUGGUAUUUUGAUUUAUUGUAGACAAAAUGAAUUUUGGCACAAUAAAUACUUAAUCCAUAGUAAAAUUAAUGGGAAAAUAAUGAUAAUUUAUACAAUUAAUCUUUUUGGCAAUAAAUCUAAAUAAUAGAAGGCAAAAAGAAUUUAUUAAAUUAUAUUUACUACUAAGAGUGAAUCCAUAACCCUAACUAAUUUAAUUUUAUACUUUUGCUUAAAUUAAGUUGCAUAUAUUUAAAUUUUACUUUCAUUUUUUUAGAUAAAGUAAAAUAAACAAAUUAAAUCUUUUCUUUGUAGAUCAACCUCGGACUCAUUGAAUUAUAAUAUAACUAAGUACUCUUAUACUUGGGAGUAAAGUAAACACUUUUGAGUCGUAUCACUAGUGUUUAUGCAUGUAGAUUUUUUAAGAUUGAUGGCUUUACACUUAUAUGAAGGAGCACAUUUGUAGAAAUUAAAGGUAUGCAUGCUGUGUAAUUCUUGUUACAUAUUCUGGUCAUGCAUAAUUAGCAUGGUUAAAAAUCGUAUUUAGCAUAGUUCAUUAACUAUUUUAUGAUCUCAUGCAUCAAAAUAGAAUCUAGAUUCAUCAUGAAUUAGUUUGACAGUGCUUGUAAAGAGAAUUUGACUGGAGUAAAUUUGGAGUAAUCUAACAUGAUUGAUAUACAUUUAAAAUAGUUUAUUACCAUUGCUAAGGAAAAUUGUGACAUGCCCUUUGCUUGCUUGAUAGUUGUAUGCUAAAAGACUACUAGCAUACUAUUGAUAUGGUUUUCAGUUAUGUUGCUAACUAAAUACUAUCAGUAUGGUUUUCAAAUAAUACAAGAUCUUGUUGUAGAAUAUGAAGAUGAGGAACAAAUUGCAAGUGAUGAGCAGAAUAUUUGAUUGAAUGUUUGAGAAGUAAGAAUGUGUUGUCCAACUUCUUGAAGUGUAAGACCAAAUGAAGAUGAAGAAUCAUUUUAUAUUUAUGAAGUUGAACGAUGGAUGAAUUACAUUUAUUUUUUGUUGCAUGUACUGGAUAAUUAUUUUGAUAAUGAAGUUAUUAUAUCCUUUUAGUAAUUGUUUAGAUUUUAUUGCAGUUUGAUUAUAUAAUUCAUGUACAAAUUUGAUUAAUAUAAUGGCAAAAAUAAAGGAAAAAAAUUCUAUAUUUUCAAGGGACUAUCCAAUAUUUCCAAGGGUCCAAAAUAUGCUUGGAGUCUGGUUUUUCCAAGGGUUAAGGACUUUCACCGACGGACAUAUUCCAUUCGAAAUAUCCAAUUACCGAGAAAAUAUGUUCCUAUAAGAAGUAUUUUUAUUCGUUGUUUGAAUUGUUUUCCAACGGAAGUGUUUCCUUUCAACCAAGGGAUAUUUUCCUCGGUAAAAAUCCAUAUUUCCGAGGGACUGUGUUGAAAUUAUAAAAUUAACAAUAAGCGUGUUGGAAUUAUAAAAUUAACGACAAGCGUUUUCACAACGAACUCCAACAGAUAUUUUCCCUUGGUAAUAGAUAUUAUUUCCGUCGGUUAUACAGGGUUUUGUUGUAGUGAACCCAGAUUGUACAGAUGGUCGCGCCACGUAUCCCAUGACCGUUCUAACGAACUGAACCACUUAAUAAUUCACAAGCUUAAGCACGUGAGUUUCUGAUGUCAGUUACGAAGAAAAAGUAGCUGAUGAACGCCGUUUUGAACUCAAGUGAUCACGCAUCAAACAUGUGACCUUUCUCCAUUGCUGAAACGGUGCCAUUUUAGUCAUGAUUGUUUGAAUUCACAACACUCCCAACACACUUCCAAAUUAAAAUUUUCAUUCUUAAUUUAUCAUUUUAUAUAAUUUAUGUUGGACUGAACCAACACUUAUUUGAUAAAACUAAAUUCUUAACAAGUAUGAAAUUAUCCACGCACAGUAAAGAGUUUAUAUAUAGGAUCACUUCUAAUCAUGGAUUCAAUUCUCACGAAGAAAAGAGAUCGAUCUGAAGUUUACAAUUCAAUCUAACAGGGACGAUAUCCCUCUCUAUAUAACUUCAAAAAAAAAAAAAACAAAUUAAGCUGCUCAUUGUGGGAAAGAAAUUAAUUAAACAUACAAUUCAGCCAAAAUUAGCACAUGCAUCCAUUAGAACCGGAAGCUGAGCCAUUUGACUCUGAUUUUUCCAGCUUCAUUGUUUUAACCUCAUUAAGUACAUUUCUGGCCCACUCAGAAAAAUAGGUCUCAUUGUAUCCUAUUCUUCCAUUCUUGUAAAUUGACAUGCAGCGACGAUCAUCUUCAGAGUAAGUACAAUUCUCUCCGUUGGGAUCGCGCCAUGCACCUUGGUGUCUCAUCCCUGACCAGCUUGCAAUCCAAUGGAAAACGUACUGGCCGACGCCGGCGAGCUUCAGCCAUCCUUUAGGAAAAAACUCCAUUACACUGCUGUUUCUGUCCAUUAGGAAUAUGUUUGUCAACUGGGCGCCGUGGGGAGAAACAAGAAUGUCGGUCAUGCUCAUCAAUUUCACCUGUGUAUCAAUAAUUAAUUUAGUUAAUGUUAAUUAUUUAAGUUUGUUUGUGAGUGCAUACAGUUCUUUGGCUAGUAAGUUCCUAUAAAAAUUGAAAAUUUUCUAUGUAUGAGUUUGGUUUAAACUAUACGUAAUUGAAAGUAACCAAUUAGAUUUAGGAUGAAAUCUAUAAAUUGAUCGGUAAUCUAAUUUGAAUAUCUCUAUAAGAUAGAAUUCAAUAAAAAUUUGAAGGGUAACAACAAUAAAAUGAUUGAGUUAAGUAGCCUCUCAUAUAAAAUUAUUAACUCAAAAAAUAUAGUAAUAUGGAGAGGACGGAUACUUUUUCAUUUUAUUUUUCAAGUCGAAGAUUUAAGUUCUUGUAUUUGAUAAAAAAAACAUAUAUCAUUUGUGAUUCAAGGCUAUAAUCACAUGCAUAACUUCUCGAAAACAUUAAAGCGAUCAAUAAAAAAUGAGGAAAAAAGUCUUCGAUGGGGUAAGAUUGAGGCAACCCAGCCAUCUGAUUGGUAAACUUAUUGUCAUGUGGCCUGCCUUCCAUAUAUCUCUUGACCUCAAUUAAGUGUGAUUUAAGGAAAUGAUUUAAUGAUAUUCGGUUAAUUAAAGUUUGUAUCAAUUAGCGCCGAACUUUGCAGGCAAACCCUUAAAAAUAAAGUCUAAAGUGGUAGGGCCAAAUAAUAUCAAGUAUAAAUAUCCACAUAUGAUACGGUGAAGGAGUUUCAAUUAUAAAGGAUAUUAAGUACCACCCUUUAAAAAAAAAACACUAUAACUUCUGCUAGUGCUACCUUCUCUUUUCGCUAUGCUCUUCACAACAUCUUAAUUGGAUAAAUUAAUGAUAUCAAUAAAUAGUUAAAAAGCCUCUCUCUUACCCUAUUACAUGUCACAACAUUAUUCAUAUCCCGCAAUAAUAUCUCUGUGUAUAGAAUAACGAAAAUUUUUUAAGUUAAUAAAAUAAGAAAUAAAUUAAAGAAUAAAAAAAAAAUACACUUUAAGUUUUUGGAUGACAGAAUUUACGGUAUUGGAGUAUGUGUUUUACUUGUCUUUUGUAGUUUAUUCUUUACUUCAAUAACUUCUAUUGAGAGAUUCCUUAUUGAAUAAUAGCUCUGUAAAUCUAUACAUCGUAACAUAUUAAUGCAAUUAAAAAGAAAUAAAUUUAUAAGAUAGAAGAAUGCACUAACCUGUUCACAGAAGGUAAGAUUGUUGGAAUAAGCCACCGUUAUCCGGCAGCCAUCAAUCUUGGCACACUCUUUCUCAAAGAUUCCGAUGAUGGCCGACUCAUUUUUGAAAGACCUCGGCCCCGUCCUCAUAAGCAAUGUCAUUCCAACAGCCUUGUGAUUAUCAUCCUUAUUAUCAAGACUCACAUUACAAUACAUUCUCGCCUUACAUCUCAUCAAAUCAUAUACUUCCAUUCUCCUCUCUCUCGACAUCCCACCUUCAUUAUGUCUCAUUACAACAGCCUUUUCGAAGCAAACCGGAUCAAUACCAUCUUCAUCAUUGAUCCCAUCAAAUCUCUCAAUCACUGGCUCCCCAUCAAAUGUUGCAUGCAUUAGGGUUUGUAGCCACGGCCCCAUCCCCAGCCUGAGCUCACCCCAAUGGUACAAAAUCCACCUGGUGGGCAACUCACAAUUGUUUUUUUGAUGCCAUGCAACAAAGGGUACCAUUGCUGACAAUCCAUGCCAAAUAUUUUCAUAACUGUAAUGAUUAUACGACACAAAUGUUAAGCCCUUCAUUAGAGUGGCGUUGUAAGGCAGGGCGUCGGGCCAUGCUAAGGCGUAGUAAUUCCAGGAGCCGUCGUGAUUGUCACGUCCUUUGAUACACAGUAAUCUAUUUUGUGACGAUUUUGAUGGAAAUUGUUGAUACUGCACUUCACCUUCUUGAUGAGAAUCAUACAAAGAGCUCAUGAACCAUGUGUGACCCACAAGGGCUUUGUCCGAAUAACGCAAGUCUUUGAGGGGGAGAAAGGUAACCGAAAUUCUAAGCUUUUCGGUUAUAGGAUCAAGGUCUUGCGUGCAGUUAUUUUUGAGUUUCUGCCAUUGCUGGUAAAUGAAAGGCCAUGAAGCUGGUGAAGGGUAAGAAAAAGAAGGAGAUUGUGAAAUGUGAAGGAAUCGGAUUUGAAAGAUAACGAAGAGCGUAACACAAAUGGCUAAAAUGAGCAAUGAGAGUUUUGGUGAGUAGCAUGAGAAUGAUGAUGAAACGUUGCGGUUGUGGGGUUUUUCUGAGGAGGCGGCCGCAGUGGUGGUAGUUCUGUCAAUUUGUGGAUGUGGUUUAGUCAUGGCGGAGAGAAAUAGGAAAUGAGAAAAAAAUUUGUAGCUGGAGUUGUGAAAAAGCAGCUUAUGGGUCAAGUCCUUCUCGAGUCAGCUUCCUGGAUUCACCACUCUCACUGAUACUCAAUUCCUUUAUCAAAACAAUAAUAAUUUUUUUAUAAGUCAUCAAUUUAAAAAAUUAAGGAGAGGAAGAAGAGCAAGAAAAAAGAAUGGAGUAAGGAUUGUUUUUGUUGCUUGCCAGCUUUUGCAGGAUUCUACAGAUGUGCAUCACUUGCCAAUGUUUCAUCAAUGGAUUUAUUUUUUUAUUUUUUAUAUUAAUCACGAGGUAUCCUGGGGAGGGCCCAACUGUGGGAAAUAUCUUUAAACCCGUAACAAUGGAUUUAUUUAUUUAAUUAGACUUACCUUAGUGACCUCCGGAUUUUACGGCAGGAAGCACGAAACUUUUUUCUAAAGUAAUUACGACCGUUUAAUUUAAGGUGAAAUGGAACAAUACUUGUGCCUAUUAGUACAAAGGAUUUUUCACUAUUCCAUGCUCAUAUUCACAAUAAACAAAAUUAAUUAAUGAGCUAGCUUUAGGUCCUUGGUCAGAGAUUUGGAUUCACCACUGAUAAUAUUCUUUAGUAUUAAUUCUAUGCGCACUUAAGAUAAAAAAUCUUUUAAAAAUUAUAACACAAAUCAUAGUCGUACGUAAUUAAAAUUUUAUCAAGUACCAUUUGGUAUAAUUUAUUUAAAAGGUAUAAAUAUUUAUUUAAUCUUAUAAGUUUUUUUUUAAAUUUUUGUUGUUGUUGUUAUUUUUUUUUUCUUUAGUGAAACUUUUAAAGAUUAAAUAAAUUAUUUUAUCUUUAUUAGUAAAAAGUCAAAUUUUAAAAGAAGUAAAGUUUAAAAAGCUUUUUGAAAGUGUUAAAAUAUCUAAAAUAUUCUUUACUCAUUUAACGAUUUUAUUUUAUUUCUUUCAUAACAUAACUUUGAAAAAAAAAACUUAUUUAUUAAAGUAAUUUUAUAAUUUUUAAUAAAAGCUCUCAUUGACAACUAACAACUAAAUAUUUUAUAAAAAUUCUACUUAAAUAAGUUCUAUUUAAAAAACUGUCAAAAGUCCUACUUAAAUAAAUUAUAUUUAAAAAACUAUACUAAAUGGAGUAAGUAGUUUUGUACUACACUCAGUCCAAAUUAACUUUUGAACCUUGAAUUUGUUUCUUUUUCAAUUUCAAGUUGGUAAAAUUUUAAUCAUUUUUAGUUCUUAGCCGAGAUAAUUUAUACAAAUCAGAGAAUUUUUUUUUCUUGGGUAACUUCAUUUAUAAUUCAGCUUGAGGAUUUAAAAAUAUUUGAGAUCAAUACGAUUGCGUAAAGGUGCACAAAGAGAAAGUCAACCUGAAGUUACUUAUGACUGCUGAUACAUGCAAGUCAACUCUCAAUCUAAAUUCCACGUUAUGCUUUGGAACUCAUUCGAUUACUUUUCAAGUGUAAGCAAAAUGUAUGCUCACGAUCCAAAUCCCAAGACAUUUCUCUUAUUACGGUGCGUUUACUUUAUGAAAUGAGAAUGAGGUGGAAUGAGAAUGAGCUGAAAUGAUAAUGAGAAAUGAAAAUGAGAUUUCAAUAUUUACUUGGCAAAAAUAAAUGGGAAUGAGAAUAUACUAGAAUGUCAUUGAUGUGUUUACUUGGCAAAAUAAAUAGAAAUGAGGAAUGGGAAUGAGAAUCAAUUUACCAAAAUACUCAUAGUAUUAAUAAUUAAUAAAAAUAAUUGAUUUAUCAUUAUUAAUAAUAUUAUCAUUAUUGUUGUUAUUAUUACUAUUAUUAUUAUUAUUAUUAAUAAAAAUAAUAAUAAUAAUAAUAUUAUUAUUAUUAAAUGUUAUUAACUUUAUUAUUUUAGUUAUUAUUAAUUAUUGUUAAUAUUAUUUUUAUUAAUAUUAUCAUUAUUAACAUUUAUUAUUAUUUAAAUUUAUUAUUUUAGUUAUUAUUAGUUAUUGUUAAUAUUAUUUUUAUUAAUAUUAUCAUUAUUAACAUUUAUUAUUAUUAUUAUUAAAAAAAUUAUUAACUUUAUUAUUUUAGUUAUUAUUAAUUAUUUUUAUUAUUAUUUUUAUUAAUAUUAUCAUUAUUAACAUUUAUUAUUAUUAUUAUUAUUAAAUUUUAUUAACUUUAUCAUUUUAGUUAUUAUUAAUUAUUGUUAAUAUUAUUUUUAUUAAUAUUAUCAUAUUAACAUUUAUUACUAUUAUAUUUUAUUAACUUUAUUGUUUUAAUUAUUAUUAAUUACUGUUAAUAUUAUUUUUAUUAAUAUUAUCAUUAUUAACAUUUAUUAUUAUUAUUAUUAAAUUUUAUUAACUUUAUUAUUUUAGUUACUAUUAAUUAUUAUUAUUAUUAUUUUUAUUAAUAUUAUCAUUAUUAACAUUUAUUAUUAUUAUUUUUAAUUAAUAUUUUAUAAUAAUAUUUAUACAUGUAUCUAGAUAAUGAAAAUUACAUUAUUAUUAUUAUUAUUAUUAUUAUUAUUAUUAAAUUUUAUUAACUUUAUUAUUUUAGUUAUUAUUUUUUUUAAUAAUAAUAAUAAUAACAACAACAACAACAAUGAUAAUAUUGUUCAUAAUGAUAAAUUAAUGAUUUUUAUUAAUUAUUAUUUUUAUUGUUAAUAAUGAUAAUAUUAAUAAAAAUAAAUAAUAAUAACUAAAAUAAUAAAGUUAAUAAAAUUUAAUAAUAAUAAUAAUUAAUUGUGAUUAUUAAUAAUAAAAAAAUUUAAUUAAUUAAUUAUUAUUAUUAUUAAUGACAUUUAAAAUAAUAAAAUUAAUUGUGAUUUGAAUGAGGGUAAUUUGAAAAAUAUGAAAAAAUUAGAAGGAUACAAAAGUAAAUAUAUAUUUCAUUCCCAUUCCUUCAUUUUCAUUCCCAACCAACCCCCCAUGGGAAUGAAAUUUCCAUUCCUUAUUCUUAAAUUGUGUGAGACCCACACAUUUUAUUCUCAUUCCCAAAUUAUAUUUUGCCAAAUAAACAUGGGUUUCAUUCUCAUUUCCCAUUCUAUGAAGUAAACACACUAUUAAAGAAUUUGAGUGAAGGAAAUAAUCUCCUUCGAGCAUUGAUGAUAUUAUCAUGCAAUUACUUAAAUGAAAUUACGUACAUCAAGAUAUUAGUGAUGAUAUUAUCACUGCCGCUGAUGAUAUUAGUGCUUAACUUUAAUUUCCUGAUAGCUAUGACUUUAAAACUAUAGUAUCACAAUCCUAGACGAAGGGUCCGUUGGGGACAACCGCACUGCCACAGUGCAGCUGCUCCACCUCCUUAAAAUAUAGGGGGUGGAGCCGGUACCCCAAAUGGACCACAAGCCUUUUAUUCAGAUUUGCAAUUGCAAAUGAGUAAUUAAAUCUGAAAAUCAUCAACAACUUACAUGAGAAUUGAGUAAUUAAAGCUGCACUCACAUUUGCAUUCACCAUUCUCAUUAGAAUUUCCCUGCUAAACUGGCAACUAUAUAGAUUCCAAAUUGGCAAAUGUAAACGUGAUAGAGAAAAAUGGAAAAGGAAGCUGUAGAUGAAACUAUGGAAGACAAUAUUCACUUCAUGGAAAAUCAAUCAAGUCACUAAACAAGGACCAUUAACAUAAGCAAGUAAUUUCAUUAAACAAAAGCUUAAGACACAAGCCGAAAAAAAAAAAAAAAGACAAGCUAGAAGCAAAAGGUUGGGGUUGAAAGAGGUAUCAUUUGAUCAUAACAGGGUUAUACACUGAAAAAUAUCGUGAAUCACGUAACCAAGAGGAAGCAUUUGUUUAAAUAUUAUGAUCUAAAUCGUUUAAAUUCCUCUCCUCAAAAACAUUCUAUUUCAUGCGGUAUCAGUUAUAGAAGUUGUGAAAUAUCAGUUACAUAAGCAUUAAGCCUGGAGCUCUGCUCAUAUAGUAAAUUGGAAUUAUAAGGAAAGAACAAUACUUAUAGAAGCCAUGAAAUCCACUUUCAUGAAAAAUAUGCAGAACAUGCAGGAAUCAGGCAUGCUGAAAGUUUGCAGCAACUGCGAAGAUCUUAUUUUUCUUCAAAAUAUCCAGCCAUCAUGACGGUACUCUGGAAUGCAUUGUUCUGGCGAUGAUAAACUAAACUCUAUCCUGAUACAUUUGCGGGGGCACAGUUUUUCUGCAGCAGAAGCAUAUGAAAUUCAUUGGCCUUUUCAGUCAAUCCAACAUCUGAAAAUGCACCCAAAAGCCUAUUACAGGCGGAGAUAUCAAAGUCUGAAGUGGCAGAUUGUUUCCAUUGAUCAAUAACUUCUCCCAUUUCUUUCAAAUGUCCAAGCAUCAGAUAAGAUGAAAGAAUGCAGAUGUAGUUUCUGCUCGUCAUCUUUUGUUUAGUCAUCCUUAAGGAUUUCCAUAUCUGAUCAAUUUUAUCUUUGUUUCCCAAACCAGCAUACAAAAUGAUAAGGAAGUCAUAGGUUAUCCAUUGUCUUUGUGUUAUACUCUUCUCUGCUUCCACCAGAGUGCCGGACUCUGCAUUCACAAGAUGACUGGCAGUUAUAUAUAUGUUGACGAGAUUGACGUACUUCACCCAAUCAUCACAGCCACCAGAGUCACAGCUCAUUUCAUCCAAAAUUUUUUUAACUUGAUCGAUGUUGAGUGUUGCAGCGCAUGAACUAAUCCAUAGAUUAUAUGUGAAAAUAUCUGGCACAACGUUCUUCUGCUUUAGCUCUUCAACAACUAAGGCAACCUUUUCCACUUGUCCAACUGACAUGUACAAAGUCAUCAUCUCAUUAUACAUAAGGGCAUUGAAGGACAGGUUUGACUGGUUUAUUCUUUCAAAAAGCUCUUCGGCCUUCUCGGUCCAUUUCGCCCCAGCAUACGAGUGGAGGAGAGCAGUGUAUGUUUCACUAGUUUUUGCUGAGAGAGGAAGCCCUUCAAAGAAGCGCUCACCCGAAUGAAUACCAAAUACUUUUGUCAUCAAGUCAAUACGGGUAGCAUAGUCAGAGUCUGAUAACACAAACUCUUUAUGAGUAACCAUCCAUUCAGAUAUCUGCGACCUUGUAUCAGUUACACAACCGAAUUGUUUACAAAUUCAAAGGAUAUGACAGCAACAAGAGCAAGCAAAGGCUAAGCAUUUUUACAAGCGAGACAAAUGUGAACUCAUUUUCUACAAAAUAUAAUUAAAUAAAACUAGGGAACUCAGCAUUUGAGCAAUUGAGUCUUAACUUGAGUCCAACUACUGUGGUAGUAUAUCAGUAACUACAUUGACUCUCAACUUGAACCCCAGCUAUGUGGCAGUUUAUCGGUAAGUUCAUUAAACAUUAAUAACUAACCUAGUGGGCAGUAAGCUGCUACAUCACAUCAGUUUCAAAGGCCGAAUACUUAGAAUUAAUCAAUGAAUUUCAAGCUACAAAUUUUACUAGUAACCGAGAUUCAAUCAGAUUCAAAUCCUGUUUAAACUAUUUCUAAGCUUAAAGAACCAUAAAAUACGAAAAAGAAAAUGAAAAGACAAUCAAACCUCGAGGGCAUGCUUGUAACGCUGAGACUUUCUGAGUUCUUUCAAGAUGUGUCGAAGCUCAGACACGGUAGCUUGGUUCCCUUCGCUGACCCACCUCUGAAUAACGUUAGUUGCGCUACGUUUUGGCAGACUAAUUCUGAAGAUUCUGGAUUUGAGAUCAUCCUUUCCAUCCGAAUUCGAAGUCUCUUCGUCGAGCCAUUCGUUUUGCGAAGAUCCAGAAGAGAGAAAUCUUGAACGAAAGAAAGACUCGGAAUCGGAAUUAGGGCGGUUCUUGAUUUUUGUGUUGCUUGCUCUGCCAUGUUUAAGUGUUUGACAGAAAGAAAGAAAGAAAUAUAGUCAAAUAGUGACUGUUUAGACAUGAAAGAUACUAAAAUCAGCUCAAUAUAGCUUAAAAAUGGGAAACAUAAGGAGAGUCGAAUGUUCUUACCGUCUUAGACCGAGGAAAAAUGAGCGAGCAGCCAUUGCUAAUUCUACAGUUGUGUUAACUGGGGCGACUCAUUGAGUCACUGCAGACAUUCUAAUUUGUUUGUUCACAGAACGCAGCGUUUGGUUCCGAUUUAUAAUUUUUUUUAAAAAUAAAAAAUUCUGCUUCUAUUUUCAAUUAUUUUUUUAAUAAUCGUUGUGGGAGAGGAAAAGAAGGGAGAAAAAAAAUAGGCAAUCACAUUUAUUCUCAAAAAAAUAUCACCAUAAUUUUACCAUAUACCAAGUCAUUUUAAAAAAGAUUCACCAUCUCCGUCGAUCUCACAUAAAUUUUUCUCCCACACUCACUCAACUUUUUUUUUAUAAUUUUUUUGUCAAAUUUAAUAGUAGGAGUAGGCAUUUUAAGUUUCGGUUUGAAUUGCAACCUAUUCGGUUUUGCGAGUUUAAUCUAAAUGAAUUUAAAAGUUAAUUAUAUUCAUUUCGGUUCGAGUUCGAAUUAUAAUUUCCUGUUAGGAUUUGGUUUGGGUUGCAAUUUAAUAUUUAUUCUAUAACCCACAUUCAAUUAAAUUGAAUUUCUAUUACCAAUGUAAAUUAUCUUAUGUUUUAAAAUUAUAAAACAUAUCAUCAAAAUUGAAUUGAAUUUGUUAUUCUACUUCAAAUUUGAUUUGAUGACAUAGUUACAAUCGAAUUGAAUUACAACAUGCUUGUGUUAAGUGUUUGAAUGAAACAAAAUUAAAAUUUAUACUUUAGAAAUAAUGGAUGAUUUUAUUUGCAAGUUGCAAUAAACCUUUUGAGAAAAAAAUAAAAAUAAAAAUAAAAUCAUUGAGGUCUCUAAAACAUUUUGCCAAGUGCAUGACCAAAGUUGAAAUCUGCGCAAUCUCAAAAUUAGAAAGAUCAUGAUUUUUUAUUGGAUCCCUCUAAGUUACAUGCAUGUACCUUACAUCCCUCUCACAUGAAUAGUAUCCAUACACUAUUCAUGUGAGAGGGAUGUAAGGUACAUGCAUGUAACUUAGCAUUACUCUUUUUUAUUUUAUAUGAAACGCCCAUGCUUUUAACAAGGCGGCCCAUGGCACUAGUGGGCUCGUCAUCAUUCCAUGAGCUGCAUUCAUAAACAAUAGACAAUGUGUAACAUGAUCAAGCUUAGCAUGCGUGGGCUUUAAUCAACUUCACUGACGUAUAAAAGCUCCACCGGUUCGAACAGUAUUAAGGAUAUGAGUUCGAGUAAAUAAGAGCUGAUGUUUAGUGGAUAAAGUUUUUUUUUUAUCGUGGUAAUUGAAAACAGUGACUUUUCAAGUUAUUAACCCUUUGUCCGGAAAACAAUUCAUAAUAAUUUAAAAAAAUUCCCAACUUUCUUCAUAGUUCUGGAGUAAUCCCCAUAUAAAAUAAAAGAGUACUGAUAUUUGAACAUUAUCAAAAUAAAAGAUAAAAUAUUUUCAUGUUAUAGUACUACUGUAACACACAAAAUGACAACACUAUCCAUACUACCAAUUGGUUUCUUUAAAAAAAAACAUUGGCAACCAGUUAACGAGAACGUACUCUUAACAUGCCUAUACAAUCUUAAUCAUUAAGGUACUCUAACUCCUUUAAACCACACAUACAUUGCCUUAAUCCCUAAGGUAGGUAAGCCUAGAAAAGUCACAUAUAUAGUUUAGACCAAUUAGUUUUUGUAAUGUGAUUUAUAGAAUUGUUACUAAAACCAUUACAAAUGGAUUGAAACCUAUUCUUUCGCAAAUCAACUUUUCUACAUGAGUACAUUCAUACCCAAUAAACUUAUUGCUAACAAUAUUAUUAUUGGCUAUGAAUGCCUUCAAAAGAUUAGGCACAACAAGGGGAAGAGAAAUAGGAAAGUAACUUUGAAACCAGACAUAAGCAAAGCCUAUUACGAUGUUCAAUGGGGCCUUUUAAAAGAAACAAUAAGGAGAUUAGGAUUUUCAAAUUGGUGUAUAAAAUUAAUCUCGAGCUGUAUCAUCACUUUAUCCUUUUCUAUGCUCGUUCAUGUAACUUCAAAAGGGUUAAGAGGGGACUACGAUAGGGUUGCCCAUGAUCUCAUUAUAUAUUGAUCAUGUGUGCAAAAGCUUUUUCUAAUUUGUUGAUGCGGGCAGAAAGAUGAGCUAAUCCAAGGUUUAAAGUUUAGUAUACAUGUAACCAUAUCUCAUUUACUAAUUGUUGAUGACAAUUUUGUUGGAGAAAAAUCAGUUUUUUAAAUUUUUUUAUAAAACAUUUUAAGAUCGCUCUAAUACAAUAUAUAAGAAUUUGUAAUCUAGAAAUCGUACUUUGAAAAUUCGACUUGGCUUUUUCCGCUAAAGUGAUUUAGGCUCCCAUAUCACGAUUCGUCACCACCACUCAUGUUAGAUCACAAUCCGUCACCAAUACUCCUGUUAGAUCAUGAUCCGCCACCAAAUAAUCUUCCAGGCUAUGACUCAGGUUUGAUUGGCACUUGACGUGUGGGCGCCUUUAUCACCACUAAAGCAACUAGCACGAGAAAAUUUUUCUCUCAAAAUUAGAGAGAAAAAUCUUUUUCUCUGAUCUGUAUAAUGUGGCCUCUCUUUUUUCAAGAGAAAAUAAGCCUUUUUAUAUCUCUAUUUAGUGGAAACCUUAGGCUCCAUAUUUAUUUAUUUUUUAAUUCUAUUAAAUCCCUUUUGAUUUAAAUUAAAAAAUAAUUAAAAUAAAAGUCACGUUACUUGUUCUUGUGUUAUAGGGGCCCACAUUGUAAAAUAACACAAGGCCUCUUACACUCAAGCAUAUUAAUGGAGCCUCCCACUAAAUAAUAUAUUUAGGCUUUUGAGCCAAAUAGCUAGUUAUCUUGCUUAUUAAUCCAGUAGUGGUGUAGUCAAUUAAAUGAGCUAACCCGGUGAUAAUUUGAGAACAUACAAUAGUGGUUACAAUAAUUAAGCAUGUAAUUAAACUAGCCCAAUUAUUUAAUUCUAAAUCUACUCCGCUAAAAGAUUGGAACUGACCUCCAUAAUUGUAUGCUCGAAUAAUAAUUCGUCUCAAGCCACAUUGAUUUUUUUAUUGUAUAAUCCUUUGUACCACAUCGUUAAUUAAAUCAAUAUCUCAACUGUCUAAUCAAUUUAAAAACAUCUUAUUCCUUGAUCCUUACUGGUUUUCUCUAAUUAUCAUUUUCAACAUACUAAAUAUGUUGACACACUCUGGCCAGAGAAUUCUAUGAUCAAGUACCGAAAACCCAUUAAGAGAUGUAUUGUACAAAUUCUAUAUUGUUAAUCGAUAACUCCAUACUCAUAAUUGCUCCCACCAAGAUACCGGGUAAUAUUGACUACAAGUGUGUGUCGUGCUCAUUGGUAAUUCAAAUGGAAUAACAAUUAUAAUCAUGAAAUUAUAACUAACUCAAGAUUAAGAUUAUAGUAAAAUCAAUGCCUAUGAGAUUUAAUAAGUCUGACAGUCAUUUCAAGGUUAAUUAAAUCUCAUAUGUGAUCAACUCAAUGUAUUCAAACUACAUCAGUAAAUUCAUACAUGAUUAAGACAAAUCAUUCAAUGAAUUUACUACAGUCUAAACAUAAAUACAGUGUCCAACUCUAUUUAUCAACUGCAAACUAAAUUUAUUUAAUCAUAAGAUAACUUGUAUUUAUGUCUUCUGUGAAUCCAUAUGAUGAUCACAUAAAUACAUAUAAUAUGAUUAAACGGACCUUUUUCAAUAUAUAUUUAUGCAAUUGAAAAUAUCUCAAAUAUUUUAUUAAUUAGAAAAUAAAUUAAUAUGUUUUAAAAGUGCAUAUAAUCCCAACAAUCUCCCACUAGCUCUUAAAGCUUAUCUGGCAUAUUGCACAUGCUCUAGAGCUCUAAGUGCAUGUUAUAAAGGUUUCCCACUAAUGACCAUUGUAAUAAGAUCUGUGUUGAGUGUUAGAAAAUGCAUAUUUAUAAAGGAGAAAACCAUCAUUUUACAUUUCAAGUCUUACUAACAACUCUUACUUUUAUGUAUUUAACCUUCUUGUGAUGUAAUUACGUGUGUGUUAUUUUAAUUAAGUAUUUUAUGUAUUUUAGGGGCAUUAUAGUCAUUUCACAAUAAAGGAGAGAUCAGACAGCAAAACGGACAUCACUUUUGAACUCAGGACGGUCGAAAACCUUAGGAGGGGCAUAAAAGGAAAAAUGGCACUAUUCACAUGUACGGUACUAUUCACGUGUACGGUACUGUCUACGUUACUGUUCACGACACUGUUCACAUAGACGGAUUGAUGACGUGGCAUUGACCGAUGAUGUGGCAUUGACUGAUGAGGUGUCACGAUCCUGUUGGACUAAAAUUCUUAUGUACUGUUGAUGGUGACGUGGCAGCAUAUCAGUGGACGAAAAAUCUCGCGUACGGUGCAUGCAUCACACAGGAUUAUUUUCAACCAAACCGCGUUACUGUUCAUCCGGGUCAAACUGUGUUACUGUUCAUCCGCGUGGUCAAACCGUGGACUGUUGACUGAUGACGUGGCGCAAUCCUGAGCGUCCAAACUGUUUUUAAUCCGAUGGCCAUGAUUUACUCCAUGUAUCUAUAAAAAGGGGGCCUCCCCCCCCUAAUUUGAUAGCUCUGAAUCCAUUUUUGGGAUCUAUUUUCUGUAAUUCCUUCUCCAUCUUGUAUUUUCUUUGUAUUUUAAUAAAUUCCCUUUUUGCCCCUAGUUCAAUUAUGAGUGGCUAAUUUCCUUUCAAGCUUGGGUUGAAGGUGAAGUCUCAACAUGUGUCAUGGGCUUUAUUUAGUAAAUUUAUUUUCUUUUCCCCUCUAGUUUUUGUGGAUGAUUUGACUUAUCGUCGACAAAUAAUACUGAUCUUGUCUAGAUACCGCCUUGGUUACACCGGCUCUCUAGUAUAAGGUUAUUAUUAUUUGGCACGAUAAGCCCUUAGCACCAUAUUGAUUAGAGCGUGGUUCAUGAGGUGUGGAUUCCCCCCUCAUGAUUUAAUUGGCAUUAAUACGGAUUAUUUAGCCCAUGAUGCAUGUUGAUACGGAUCCAGAUACCCAAGUAAGUCAAUUUAAUCGAUUUUCUCUACAAUUUAUUCUCGCCAUUGCAAUUCCAAUUUUAGCAUAUUUUAAAUCACUUCCACCACAAUUCCAACCACCCAUUUACAAAAUUAAUUCUAUAUAUAAUUAAAAAUCCACCUCCUCGUGGGAUCGACACUCGUCACCAUUAGUCUAUACUACAAUAGAUUCGUGCGCUUGCGAGUACAUUAAAAUUUGCACAACAAUCUGUCAUAUAACAUCUAAUGUCAUUUGGGGUACUGUCAUAUAACCUUUCAACACUAUUCCCUUAUAAGAUGAUACUUCCUCUCAAUAUGUUUUGUUUCUUGUGGUUUCUUGGUUCCUUAGAUUGAGCUAUUGCACCACCAUUAUCAUAAAAUAAUUUAAAGGUGCAGUUAUAACAGGUACUACCUCAAGAUCUUAUAGGAAUUUACGGAGCCAUACAUCUUCUUUUACAGCUUCAAAUGCAGCCACAUAUUCAGCUUCAGUUGUGGAGUCUGUGAUACAAGAUUGUUUAACACUCCUCCAACUAAUAGCUCCACUUCCUAAUGUAAACACAUAGCCAGAAAUUGAUUUUCUAGAAUCCUUAUCUGACAUAAAGUCAGAAUUAGUAUAACCCACUGGAAUGAGUUUAUCACCAGAGUACAUAAGCAUAUAAUUUUUAGUUCUUUUCAGAUGCUUUAUUAUAUGCUUGACUGCAGUCUAGUUUUCAGGUCCAGGAUUUGAUAUAUGCUAACCAUCCAUACUGCAAAAUAGAUGUCUGGCCUAGUAUAAAGCAUGACAUACAUGAGACUUCUCACUACUUCUGUAUAUGGAACUCGUCUCAUUCUCUCUAUCUCUUCAGAAGUUUUAUGUGAUUGAUCCUUAGAGAAUACAAUUCCAUGUCUGAAUGGUAAUAAACUAGUCUUGGAAUUUUCCAUGCUAAAUCUAGCAAAUAUCUUAUCGAUAUAGACCGCUUGAGACAAGGCUAAAGUUUUAUUCUUCCGGUCUCGUAGUAACUCGAUACCAAAAAUAUAACUUACCUCUCUCAGGUAUUUCAUAUCAAAUUAUUUUGCUAACCAACUCUUUAUUGUAGUCAAUACUCAUAUAUCGUUUUCAAUUAGGAGAAUAUCGUCUACAUAAAGAACUAGGAAGGCUACAGAUUUUCCUUGAAUUUUCUUAUACACACAUGGUUUAUCAAUAUUUUGAAUGAAUCCAAAUGAUUUAAUCGCUUGAUCAAAUCUGAUGUUUCACGACCAGGAUGCUUGCUUCAAUCCAUAAAUGGAUCUCUACAACUUACAUACCAUGUGUUCUUGGCCUUUUUUUAUGAAUCCAUCUGGUUACUGCAUGUAGAUGUCUUCUUUAAGAUGUUCGUUAAGAAAGGCAGUCUUGACAUCCAUUUGCCAAUUUUCAUAAUCUAGCACUACAGCAAUGGAGAUCAGAAUCCUGAUGGAUUUAAGCAUAGCAACCGGGGAAAAGGUUUCCUCAUAAUCGAUUCAUCUUUCUGAGUAAACCAUUUGGCUACUAAUAUUGCUUUAAAUGUUUCCACCCUUCCGUCUACUCCUCUUUUUCUCUUAUAGAUUCACUUGCACCUUAUAGGUUUUACCCCAUUUGGUGCCUCUACAAGUUCCCAGACUUUAUUGGAAUACAUAAAUUCCAUUUCUUGAUUCAAAGCCUUUUUUUUCAAAGUUCAACAUCUCUAUCUAUUAGAGCUUCGUUGUAACUAAUGGGAUCUAGUAAAUGUUCAUAUGAGAUAGCCGUAUAGGUUUCUCCCAAUAACAUGUAUCUCGCAGGUAACCUAGUUACCCUCCCACUAUGACGAGGUUCUAAAAGUGAUUGUUGUUCAAGGAUAAUCCUGUGUUGAUCAGCUGAUUGUUGUUGUUCUUCAUGUUCUAUAAUAGGUGUUGAAAGCUAAGCAUCAACCUGAUCUUUUUUUUUUUAUUUCUCUAGUUUUACCUUACUCUUAGGUUAUAAGUCAUUUAUAUAGUCUUCCUCAAAGAAAGUAAAGAAUAUGUCUAUAAAUACAUUCUUAUCUUGAGGACUAUAAUUUAGACUUUCCCUUAUUCCUUUAAGAUACCUUAAACAUGCAAGCUUCUGAACAUGAAUCCAUUUUCUUUACCUCUGAUUCUAGUACAAAUACUAGUAAACUCCAAAUACGAAUGUGUCUCAAACCAUGUUUGUGACUUUUUCAUAAAUUCUUGGAGUAGUAGACACCGAGGUAGAUGAAACCAAGUUCAAUAAACUUUGCAGUUUUAAAUACUAGUAUCUGGAAUAAAAAAGGUAAAUGAUAAACCACUUAGUAUAUAUCUUGUCUUAUCCAAAAGAAUCUUGUUUCUCCAUUUAAUUACACUAUUGUAUCAUAGUGUUUAUCCCAUUUGACAACCAAAUAGAGCUUGUAUUCUCCAUAGAGAUAUUCUUUGUUUCGAUCAUAUCAAAGUUCUUUUAUGUCUUGUCUAAUGGCUUCUGUCUUAUUCACGUACUCUUUUGAAUUUCAAAAGCAAUUGAAUCAUGACGCAUUUAGACAAACAUAAAUAAAAUGAAUAUCCAUCAACAAGAUUGAUAGAAUACUCAUAACCUCUUAUAACAUGUAAACUGAUUAGUCUGUAUACAUUUGUAUGCGCUAAAUCAUCCAAUACAACGUUUUGCUUUUAGCUCAAAAAGAGUAUCCUCGUCAUAUUACUUUUCUAAAUAAGAUUUAUAAAGUUACAAUGAUCAAUCUUAAUAGGCCAACAAGCCUAUCAUUAAUCAUUUUCUUAAAAUCUUAUUAUAGUUUAUAUGACUUAAGCAUAAAUAUCAGAGGUGAAAUUGGUUAGAAGAAACAUUUCUUUUCUUAGAUAAAUGCAUAUACUAUUUAUUAUUAUAUUUUGCUUUGAAUAGAUCAAUGGACUUAUAUGAUAUAAAUUGUCUUUAUAAAUAACCAAAAUAAAUAUUAAACAGAGGAUCCAAAAAUAACAUUGUACUCAUGUUUAUUAAAACAAGCCACCGAAAUUAAAUUCCUCUAAUAUUUGGAAUAAUAAAGACAAAUAUCAAACCUAAAGUCUCGUAAAAUUGAUCUAACCUUUCAACUGAUAUAAACUAGCAUGUCCUCAACUGUUGCUUGAAGCUUUUUUUUUUUUUCACUUAAUCUCUUGGUUUCCUGAAAACUAAAUAAAUGAAUUACAAAUAAGAUUAGUUAUCUCAAAAUUCACUAUUGCAUGAAUCAAUAGAAAUCUGAACUAAUCAGGAAGCUUAAAGAUUUCCUAUACUCGAUUUUAAUAAUCUUAGAACAAUCUUUCUUCCAGUGACCCUUAUGUCCAUCUUUGUAACACUUGCCUUUUGGCUUGCCACUUGUUUUAGUGGACAGUUUGCCGAUCCCAACUCUUUCUUGCUCAUUCUUGUCUUUCGACUUAAGCCUUGAAGAGAAUCCUUUUUUAGAAAGUUUUCUGCUAUGAUAAAAUUUUCUAUAGCAUGUAGUUCGUGCAUUAAUUCAGUUAAGGUCAUAUAUUUAUUGUUUAAGGUAAAACUAAUCUUAAACUUUUUAAAUGUAUCAGGCAAAGAUUCAAUCAUCAUAUUAAUCUUUAUUUUAUCAUUGAUUUGAACAUCAUGAAUCUCUACCUCAUUUAAAUAGUCCAUCAUUUUGAGGACAUGAUCACGAACUCUUGUGCCCUCUUCCAUCUUAGUAUCUGUAAUACGUUUUAAUGCUGUUUCUCUGGCAAAAUGAGUAUUUUGUCCAAACAUCUGAUGAAGACUAGCCAUUAUUUCAGUGGUUGUUUCCAUGCUCCGAUGUUUCUUAUGCAGUUCCACAGAAAUUGAAGCCAAUAUAUAGCGCUUAGCCAUUUUGUUAGCUUCGCACCAUUUCUCAUAAGGCUCCCUCUGAUUUCUAUAAUCAUAUAACGUGGUUCUGGAGGGCAUGGCUGGGUCAACACAUAUUUGCAGCCCUUAGAAGUGAGAAUAUUAAAUAGAUUGCGUUUCCAAUCUAAAUAAUUUUCGCCAGUGAGUUCAUUUUUAACAAGGAUAAUUAAUAAUGGGUUGAUGGAAGACAUUUUCUAAAAAAAAAACAAAAUAGACAUGCAUAAAUACUUUGAAACAAUAUUCACAAUAAAUGAAAAAAAUGUAAAAAAUCAUAAAUGCAUUUUUAUUUAUUGUAAUGAUAAUCUAGUACUGCUUUGACAAGCUAUCUGUUGGGGAAGUCACAUCUACACUUACUAGACCCAAUUAUCCAUUGGAUUAUUUACUUUUAUGUAGAGACAUGAUAAAUAAUUAUCGUUAUCCCUUUGGGCCUAAAUUUGUUAACAGAGGUUCGUUGGGAAGGUUAAUAACAAAUUUUAGUUGAGUGUAUAACCAUUGUUUCAACCUACAUAUUUUUCAUAUCAAUAGUUACCGUUGGGGUGAACAAUUAAUUGAAAAAUAUUUCAAUUUUACUUUGAAGAAGUUCAUCAAAUAAAAUAUCUAAUAUAUAUACCAUCAGUAGAGAGCAUCACCGUAUCAUGAAGUCGAGGUAUAUAUAUAAUUUUAUUAUUGAACUAACAAUGGAGCCCGUGCGAAAAAUUCUCUUGAAUUUUUCCUCUCCCACUCAAUAUUUUAAAAUUGGUGUUUCCUUUUUAAAACAUACAUAUUGUUAAUUGUUUGUUUCCUAUAAUAUUAUCUAGAUGAUAUCCAAUAUUAUUAAGAAUACGCAAAUUACAAACACUAUAACGAGAUUCAUAAUAUAUGAAUGACAUGUAUCAUUAUGCAUAGAGUGGCACUACCUAUUAUAUAUGACAUGUUAUCAUGGCAUGUUAUCAUCCAAAACAUAACAUAUAGAAAAAUAAUUAAAUAAUCUUAAUUCAUGGCUUUUCUAAAAGAAAAAAUACAUUAACCCUAAACCUAAUCUUCAUUGGACUUCUUGUCAAUGUCCAUUUUCCAUAAGCUUGUUUUUGUUAAUAGACUAAGGGAAAUUGGGUUUUUAAAUUUAUUAUUGGUCCAAUUUCAAUUUUGAAAGAAAAUAAAUAAAAUCUUUUUUUAAAAUAAAAAUUUUGGACCAAAAUUAAUUUAAUGUGUUCAAUUUUAUUUAUGCAUUUUAAUCCAUUAAGCAUAAUUUCAAUUGGGCCUAAAACUAGGAUUCAUUAAGCCCAAAAUUGUUUUUGAACUUAAAUGCAAAAAAUUGAAACUUAUCAGGCCAAAGAGAAAAACUAUGGAACUAUAGGGACCUUAAUGAUAAAAACCAUUGAAACCCUAAAUCCAUUUUUUUUCUCUCCCCAGCCGCCAACACCACAAAAGGCAGCCACUGUUCACCCAUCUCCGAUGCUGAUUUGACAGUCGCCGCCUCGCCGAGAAACCACCAAACGACGCCCUCCGCUAGCAGCAAUUGCCUGCAAGUUUCCAGCCCCCGCGCGCGUGUUCAAGUUGCUAGUAGCGCUAUAGAUGCUGGUCGCACGCGCUGUAGCUGCUGCGUGUGUAGUGCGCACUGCUGGCAGCGUGUGCUGUUAGCCAUGCGCUACUGGCUGCUGCGCGUGCAGCGUGCACAACAGUUUGGCGCUGAAAUUUCCAGCCUUCAUUCUUUGAUCUGUCGUCUCGUGAUAAUUCUCCAGCGAUUUACAAAUUUCCUAGGCCAAUUUUGGCUUACAAAAAUUCUAUAACAGUAAAAGAAAUCAAGAGGGAAACAUGAUGAUAAAAAACCACCCCUCUUGUUACAGAUCCAAAGAAAAAAUAUUGCGGAAAAUCUAACCAUGAAUUAAGACAAACUAAAAACAUACUUUAUUCAUAUAUUAAACAAAUAGUAUAUAUCUGAAUAAAUUGUGCCACUCUAAUACAUAAAUAUUAAGAUUGGUUUCAUACGAAAUUCUUAUAUAUUAAUAUGAGAUGGCUCUGAUACCAAUUGUUGGAGAAAAAUCAGUUUUUUAAAUUUUUUAUAAAGCCUUUUAAGAUUGCUCUCAUAUAAUAGAUAAGAAUUUGUAAUAUAGAAAUAAUACCUUGAAAAUUCGACUUGGCUUUUUCCGCUGAAGUGAUUUAGGCUCCCAGAUCACGAUUCGUCACCACCACACCUAUUAGAUCACGAUCAGUCACCACUACUCUUGUUAGAUCACGAUCUGCCACCAAAUAAUCUUCCAGGCUAUGACUCAGGUUUGAUCUGUACUUGACGUGUGGGCGCCUUUAUCACUACUAAAGCAACUAGCACAAGAAAAUAUUUCUCUCAAAAUUAGAGAGAAAAAUCUUUUUCUCUUAUCUGUAUAAUAUGGCCUCUCUUUUUUUAAGAGAAAAAAAAGUAUUUUUAUAUCUCUAUUUAGUGGAAACUCUAGGCUCCAUAUUUAUUUAUUUAUUAAUUCUAUUAAAUCCCUUUUGAUUUAAAUGAAAAAAUAAUUAAAACAAAAGUCACGUUACUUGUUCUUGUGUUAUAGGGGCCCACCUUGUAAAAUAACACAAGGCCCCUUACAGUCAAGCAUAUUAAUGGAGCCUCCCACUAAAUAAUAUAUUUAGGCUUUUGACCAAAAUAGCUAGUUAUCUUGCUUAUUAAUCCAAUAGUGGUGCAGUCAAUUAAAUGAGCUAACCCAUGAAUUAUUUGGGCACAUACAAUAGUGACUACAAUAAUUAAGCCUGUAAUUAAACUAGCUCAAUUAUUUAAUUCUAAAUCUACUCUAUUAAAAUAUUGGAACUGACCUCCAUAAUUGUACUCGAAUAAUAAUGUCCCAAGCCACAUUGAUUUAUUUACUGUAUAAUCCUUUGUACCAAAUCGUUAAUUAAAUCGAUAUCUCAACUGUCCAAUCAAUUUAAUAACAUCUUAUUCCUUGAUCCUCACUGGUUUUCUCUAAUUAUCAUUUUCAACAUACUAAAUAUGUUGACACACUCUGGCCAGAGAAUUUUAUGAUCAAGUGCCGAAAACCCAUCCAGAGAAUUCUAUGAUCUAUAUUGUUAAUCUAUAACUCCAAUACUCAUAAUUGCUCUCACCAAGAUACCGGGUAAUUUUGACUGCAAGUGUGUGUCGUGCCCAUUGGUAACUCAAAUGGAAUAACAAUUACAAUCAAGAAAAUUAUAACUAACUCAAGAUUAAGAUUAUAGUAAAAUCAAUGCCUAUGAGAUUUAAUAAGUCUGACAGUCAUUUCAAGGUUAAUUAAAUCUCAUAUGUGAUCCAACUCAAUGUAGUCAAACUACAUCAGUAAAUUCAUACAUGAUUAAGACAAAUCAUUCAAUGAAUUUACUACAUUGUAAACAUAAAUAGAGCCCCCAACUCUAUUUAUCAACUGCGAACUAAAUUUAUUUAAUCAUAAGAUAACUUGUAUUUAUGUCUUCUGUGAAUCCAUAUGAUGAUCACAUAAAUACAUAUAAUAUGAUUAAACAGACCUUUUUUAAUAUAUAUUUAUGCAAUUGAAAAUAUCUCAAAUAUUUUAUUAAUAAGAAAAUAAAUUAAUAUGCUUUAAAAGAGCAUAUAAUCCCAACAAAUUUGAUAUUCACUGAGGCAUCUAUUGAAGUUUGUAAGCAUUUAAAAGCCUGGAAUGCCAUUCCCCUCAGGAAAAGUCUUCAAUUAUGACAAGUCCUUAAUAUUCUUUAGUGACAAGAUUCUAGAAAGGUGAGUAGCAAAAAUCAAGGACACUUUCAACUCAAAGUGAUGUCUAGGCAUGAAGAGUACUUUGGUCUCCAAUCUAUGAUAGAAAUAAAAAAAGAUGGAUUUCUCUAGAUAUGAAGCUUAGAGCUGUGAGCAAGAUUUCAAACUGAAAACACAAAUUCUUCUCUAGUGAAGGUAAAUAGGUGCUUAUUAGGAUAGUGACACAAGUUAUUCCAACCUAUGUCAUGAUUAUUUUCAAAAUACUUAUUGGAUUAUGUGAUGAUAUUUAGAGAGCAAUUGCCAGGGUUUGGUGGGGCCAGAGGAAGACAAAAGGGGUAUAUAUUGGGCUAGAUAGGAGAGGUUAUGUUAUACAAAGAGUAAAGGCAGCUUAGGCUUCAGAGUCCUCACAAGCUUUAACCAAGCUUUGGUGGCCAAUCAAGGAUGGAAACUGCUGCAGUUCCUAAACUCCUUAGUAGCCAAAUUACUGCAGGCAAGAUAUUACAAGCAAUCCAACUUCAUAAAUGAUAAAGCUGGCUCUAACCCAUCUUUUACAUGGAGGAGUAUAUUGUGGGGUAGACAGGUCCUUCAAAAAGGUAUUGGAAAUGGGGAAAAUUUGCAAGUAAACAGAGAUAACUGGAUUCCUAAGCCAGGGACCUUUAAGCCAAUCUCAUCAUUAUCAUUAUUUAUGGAUGCUACAAUUGCUAAGAUGAUUGACUGGAUUCCUAGCAAAAUAUAUGGAAAAUAUAUUUGAUCCGUUAACACAUUUUGAGAGAAAACAUAGAAGUGAUUCUUAAAAUAUAAUAAGUGCAUAUUUUCCAUAUAUUUUACUAUUAAUUUCUCCAUCUUUUUCUUGUUUUGGUCUUAAAUAUUCUAAUUAUUUCAGUUAAUUUUUAAAUUUAUUUGUUUUGUUAAAAUUAUAUUUUAUUGUGUUAAUUUUUAUCUUAGUUUUUUUAUUUUGUUAUUUUAGAUAUAAUCUGGGAUUAAAGAGAAAUUAAAUCGGAGCAUUCAAGAAAGAAAUCUGAUUGAAAGAAUCAGAAUAGGAAAAAAAUUUGAAGAUUAAGGACAAAAGUGCACAAAAAAUAAAGAAUUAGAGAAAUAAAGAAUAUUUUCCAAUUAGAGCUUGUACGGGCCAAGCAAAAUUAAUCUUGCACAUGGAGUUAAAAAUGGACAAAGGAAGUCAAAAAGAAAGCCAAGCCACUUAACGAGCUAAGCCAUCACAUAAAAGCAAAAUUUAAAAAAAAAAGGAAAUUGUCAAAGUGGCCAACACGUGAAAGGAAGGAAAAUAAAGCCUUUUGGCUUUAGGAAAUCAUGGCCAAUCACAAAAGCUUGUGCACGAGGACGAAAAAGGAAAACAAAAGUUCAAACCUUAAUUACUAAGGUCGGUGGCUUAAGCACUAUAGAAGCCAACUUUUGGCUUUUGAUUUGAGGACAAUCGGCAGCCGCACAUACUCAACAAUUUGCAACCGCAUGGGAGAAGAAAAAAAUAGAGGAGGCAGCUAUUUGAAAUAAUUUAUAUGUCUGGUUUUAUUAACUCUUUUACUCACAAUUCAAUUAUGUUAGGUUAGAUUUUCUAUUUGGUUGAGGGUGAAUUCAAAACCCUAAACAUGCUAUGCAAUUAAUUUUUAAUUUCUAUCAUUCAAUUUAUUUAAUUGAGAUUGUUUAUGUUCUUCUAUAAUUAAUGUUUAUGAUUUUAUUCUUAUCUUGUUUGAGUGGCUAAUUAGAUAGGACUUGAAUAAUUUCUAUUGCUAGAUUAAAAUUCUUGAUCCGUAAUUAUCUUGAUAUUUUAAUUAUUAGUAGCAGGUUGGAAUCAGUAAUUUCAAUUAGAGAACAUAACCUAGGUUAAAUAAUCCAAACUUGUGUGUUUAUUGCCUAGAUCAACCUAACAUCUUUCUCUACUUAAUGCUACUAUUAUCUUAAAUUUAAAGAGAUUGUUUUAAAUUAUUUAAUGGUUAGAGAUUAGGUGAAAAGCUUUUUUUGCCUAACAACACACUAAGGAAAGAUUGAGACUAACAUAGCUUAUUGUUGUCUACAGUUGAUAGUUUCAAUAUAAAUUGAUGAUAAAAUUGAUAUAUUAUGUGCAUGUUUGGUGGUGGCGAAAGAUCUUUUAGGCAAAGUUUUCAUCAUAAUUAUUUCUUUCUCCUUUAAUUAGAGUUUUUAUUAAAUUAUUGUUGAUAGUUUUAAUCUCUUUAUUUCUUUCUAUUUAUUUAAAAAUUCAUAAAACCCCCCAUUUUAUUUAUAAUUGACAUUUUCUUUAAUUAGAUUAAUUUAUAUUAUUAUUACUAUUAUUAUUACUAUUUCUAUUUUAUUUUAAAUCUUGCUUUAGAGUUCGUAAUAAAUAUAACUAGCAUAGUCUUCGUGGGAUCAAUCCUUACUCGCUUUGUACUAGUUAUUUAUAUUAGUAGUAAGGUUUUAAAUUUGGUGCACCCUAACGACACUUCCAAAAUCCCAUAGUUAAAAAGGUCUAAGGUCCAUGAAGUGUUCUAGCACUUUGACAAGAAAGGUCAUUAUCUGUUGAAAGUGGUUAUCAAAUCGCUCUCCAGUUAAAGGUUUCUAGCACUCUAAGUUGUUCAAGCAAUGAAUCUAUAUAUGGGAAUGAUUGUGGACUCUUGAAUUGCCUAAAAAAAAUCAAUUUUUUUCUUGUGGAGGGUAGCUAGAAACUUGCUCCCAGCUACAGAAAACCUCUGAAAAAAGAAGAUUUUGCCAAUCCCAAUUAUUCAGAGUUGCAGGCAAGGUGUGGAAACCAUAUAUCUCGUGCACUCUUGUAUUAAGUUGUAACGUAAUACAAUAUUUGGGGUAUUAUAGAUAAGACUAUUUUGUAAUAUUAUUGUAUAUUAAUAUUAAAGUAAAAUUAAUAUUAUUUAAAUUAUUAACAUUUUAUUGUUAUAUUAUGAAUUCUUGAAAUUAAUUAUUAAACAAUUAUUUUAUAUAUAUUUAUUUUUAUAACAUAAAAAUAAUGUAAUAAUAUACUAUUAUCAAAUCUUAUAAUAUUAUGAUAUUAUAAAUAUAAACAUAAUAUAAUAUAAUAAUAUAAUGUGUAAUAUAAUAUAAUAUACUAUAAUACGAUAUAAUAUUAAAUUUUCAAUUUAAUUAUAAUUAGCUUCUAUUUAUUAAUGUCGAAUAUAAUUAAUUAAAUUUAUUUUUAAAUUCUGUAUUUUGGUAAAUAAUUAAAAUAUUUUCAGAUAUUUAGAGUAAAAUAAUUAAAAUGAUUUUAAUACAUUUAUUUAUUAAAUAUUUAUGUUAUUAAUAUUUUAAAUUAUUAAUUCAAUUAAAUUUGAUUUAAUAAAUUAAAAUUUAUUAUAAAUUAUUGAAUAAUAAAAGUAAAAUAAUAAAAAUUAAAAUAUAAACAUAAAAUACAACCUAAAAUCUACUCCCUCCGUGAAUUUGAAGAACAAAACAUCACAAUUACAAAUUGAAGCAAAAGAAAAACCACAAAAUUGAAGCUUAUCAUCUGUCUAUAGAACCUCAUAAAAUAGCAAAUCUCCCAUUUUUUUUUCUCUCAGUUUGUUGCUAAAUGCACCCAUAGAACUUCAUGCAUAUGUAUGAAUACCAACAUCCUGUGCUAUAGAUUCGGAUAUAAAUUUCUCAAUGUGCGUACAUGACUGCACAUUUUAUGGGUCUCUCUUACCAUCAUUGAUGAGAUGAUAAUAGAUAAAGGACUGUUAUUUCAUGCUGUUGGUUAAAAAGAAUUCCGGUGAUGCAGUCAAAUAAUUCAUCAUGAUAUGGAAACCGAAGUUCCCGAAUGUAACAUAAGUUCUACUAAAAUAAAUUUCAAUCAGAUUAAUUAAGAAGGUCCAGAAUAUGAUCAGCACCAGAGAUAUUUACGUCUGCCAAGGAAUCAUCUUCUACAUUCAGAGCCCUAACCCACCCAUCCAUGACAUAUGCUGACCAUCUACGCAAAAGCAACAUAAAAUUCAGUAAGUGACAGUUGCAACGUCAAUAAGGUAAAGAGUUCUGCUAUUUACCCCGGGUCAAAUCCCGGGUCAAACCCCGAAUUAAAUAAAACGACGCCGUUUUGGUUUCUUUUUUUUGUCCUUUUUGCUUCCAUGGAACGUAGUCGUUUCAGCUAAACAAAACCGAAUGUCUUCGUUUUCAUCUUCUUGUCCUCUUCGAUUCUCCUCAUCGUUUCACCAGUCAUUUCAAUCAAUCGAAAGCAAACGUUGCCGUUUGACCCAGGCAAAAGCAAACCCAAACGUCUUCGAUCUUUAGUGUUGCAAUUUAGCUGAUCUAGUGCAAGUGCUGAAUUUAAUUGCUUUGCAAGUGCUGAAUUUUGAUAGCUAUUGUCAUUUCCAUUUUAUUUAAUUUUCGGUUGAAGUAAAAUGUUAAGAAAAUAAGUGUGUUAAAUUGCAAUUGAUAUUCAUUUUUCCUUUCCGCACUUGAUCUGGGUGCUUAAUGCCCACUGUUGAGGAUGAAUGAUGAUGAAAAUGAGAUUUUGGUCCGGAAGAAACUGUGUACAGAUUUGUCUGCAUUUUGUUUUCAAUUGCUCUGCAUUUUUUGAUGAAUUGCUGUGCAAGUGACUUCUGCAAAUUGUGCUGCAAUGCGUGCUAAAUUGGUCUGUAAUUUGUGCUACAAUUUGUGCUCUGCUUGCUGCAAUUUGUGCUGCAAUUGCUCUGCAUUUUACAGCUCUAAUACAAACUACAAACGGACUUAUAGGGCUUCAGAUUUAGAAGAAAAAGCAUAAACCUAGGUGAGAUUUACCUUUAAAGAAAGUGAAAGAAUUAUAAAUAAUAGAAAGCAAGUUAAUUAGAAGCACAAAAGCGGAUUUUGUGGACACCAAAAUAGUCCAGAAUGAGCAGUUUUAUUGCCUUCUAUAAGCAUGAGAAAAAUGACACACACACACACACACACAUCACUGCUGCUAUUCAAGCUUUUGCUCGGGUGUGGUGAAUCGAAGAGGAACAGGAACAAGAACAGGAAGAGAAAGAAAAGCAGCUGCGUUUUUUCUGUUUUCACUAGGCUGAACGACUGCGUUUCAUGGAAGCAAAAAGGAAAAAAAAAGAAACUAAAACGGCGUCGUUUUUGUUUAAUUCGGGGUUUGACCCGGGAUUUGACCCGGGGAAAGUAGCAUUUUCCUAAGGUAAAUAAGGUAACAGAGCGAUGAAUGGUCAAGUCAAGAUCUCUAUUACCUGCAAGAACGAUGACCAAGCAACUCAUUAGAUAGAUCAAGUACAAAGUCCAAUCUAUCAUGGAACCUGCCAUCAAAGUCAGCAUAAAAUUCAAUCUAUUAAAUGAAAACACUGAAAUGUUACUAGUGCGAUAUCAAUUAUUGAAAAAUGUUUAGCUUGAAGUAAACAUAAAUGCUUUCGAGCACAACACCAAACAGGCCCUCAGUACUCACUAUUUUUAAAAAAUAUCAGCACAAAGAUCAAACCAAGAUCGAAUCAAUUUACAUAUGCAUCAGCAAAAUUACGUGCGCAUGCACAAAAGAUCUAAUACGUGCACAGGCAGGUCUCAGAGUGAAGGGCAAACAAAAAAAGGCAAAUGCUGUGUAUGAGAUAUUAUAAACAAAAACAUGUGAAGCCUGCCACCUAGGCUAUUGGCUUGACACUAUUGGCACCCUUCCAAAUAUAUCUUAAAGCUCCUUUAAACCUCACUCAAAAGUUAAAUAAUUUUUUUCUUAAAAAAUUUUAACAUCUUAAAAAUUAAAAAGGUUUUUUUUUCUAUAAUUUUAUGGCAAAGAAUUAGGGGUGGGCAUGGAUUAAAUUUUAAGUUAAUCCAAACCAAACUAUAAAAUUUGGACCCAACCCCAACCAACCCAAGUAUUUUUAACCCAACUCAAAUCAAACCAACUCAUUUGGGUUUGUGUUGGGUUUAGUUUGAAUUUUGUGAUCAAAAUAUUUUUUUAUUUUGAUAAAUUUAAUUAUUUUAAAAUUAUAAUAAUUAUUUAUUGUUAUUAAUUAUUAAAUUAAUAUUAAAAUAUCAAAAAAUAUAGUGGAUAAAAAAUUAUAAAUAAUAGAUUUUAUAAUAACUUUAUCCUUAAAUUAAAGAAUACUAUAAAAUUAAAAUAAAGUUUAAUCACGAAAAUCAUUAUUUCUCAAUAAAUGAGAAUGUAAACUCUAAUAAUAAACUUCCACAAAAAUGACAUUAACAAGUAAAUUAAAAGAAAGAAAAUAAAAAAUAGUAGUAUUAUCCAUAUUACAACACAAAUUCUAACAAUGCCAACACAAAUCAAAAUAAGGUAAAAUAUCCCGACUCAAGUAUCAAAGCAAUCCAUCAUAAUCAGUCCCAUCCGCAAUACUUUAAUGGAAAGAUUCCAUGAUCAAUUGAGCAUGCUCCUUCACCAACAAAUAAAUAGCCAAAAAAGAAAAAUUAUAAUGUUGAAUAGUUUUAAAGAUGAGUAAAUUUAGAAAAGAACAUGAUUCAUACCAAAAUCGUAAGAAUAACAUCAAUUCAAAGCCAUCACCUCUGUUGUUACACUUGAUCCAAACUCUUCAUUAAAUAAAAAAAAAUUUAGUGAACAAAAAGACUAGUGAUAAACAAAUAUAUAUAUAUAUAUAUAUAUAUAUAUAUAUAUAUAUAUAUAUAUAUAUAUAUAUUAGUUGUUAUGAUAAACAGUUACUUGACAUCAUGGCUUCAUAAAAACUCAAGCUUCUCCAUCGUUAAUUCAUCUUGUAAUGAGACAAAAGUGUUAAGUAACCAAUCUUGCGAGCAUUUCAAAGCUUCCACUAUCUUUGGACUUAAAGAACUACAAAAUGAAUCAAUGACGUGUCCUCUAGUACUAAACCAGAUUCUAAAGCUACUGUAGAUAUUUGAAUUGCAAACACAUCCUUUGCAAUGUGUGAAAGAACUCGAUAUUUUAUUGAGUUCAUUUUCCACCAUGCCAAAAUCUCAAAGUCAUCAUCAUCAACAUGUUCACAUGGCUCCAACAAGUACCUCUCUACUUCAUCUUUCAUCUUAACACAAUCAUCUUUUCCUAUUUUUUAUUUGAACUUUGCAACACUUGAAAGUUUAGAAAACCCCACCUUUUUAUUAAAUUUUCUACUAUCAACAAUUGACGACUUACCAACACCACUAGAUGAUCCAAAACCGAUCUGUGUCAAGAUCUUUAUAGUAAUCAUAAGGAUGUAUUAAAAGAUUUCUCACCUCUUUGAACUUCUUCCCAACCUCAUCAAUAAUAAAGAUGUCUUCAAAGCAAAAUGUCACAUAUUUUAACUUAUAACAUUGAUCAAUAAUAACUUAAAUGAGCAACAAAUUAUUCAAGCUAUCAAUUGAACCCCAAUAUUUGUCAUAUUUAUUUUUCAUACUUGUUUCCAUUUUAGAUACGACAGGACUUAGUGAUGUCAAAUCAGAAUGAAUUGAGCACAUUUCAUAAAAAUAUAAGUUUGAAGUCACGUACAUUGAACCACUAAAUUUCAAAGUUAUAUCAUAAAAUGACGCCAAGAAACAACACAAAAACAUUAUCAUUUUCCCAAUCGUCACUAUUAGGAGGUCUUCCAUCCUCUAUGAAAUAUGAAAUAUAAUGUUGAUCAUCAUCCUCCAUUGUCUCAAAAGCCUUUUGAAAUUUUAAAGCACUCUCCAACAUUAAGUAGGUGGAAUUCCAUCUAGCGGACACAUCAUGAACCACAAGGCUAGUACCUUCAAUUCUUUCAUGCUCUACACAUAAUUUAAAUUUUUUUAGCCUUGUGGGAGAUGACUUUACAUAUUUGAUAGCAUUACGAAUUCUAGAAAUUGACACUUGCAAGUCUUUCAACCCUUCAUUCACAAUUAAAUUCAAAAUAUGCGCACAAUAUCUCAUAUGUUAAAAGUCACUAUCUAGUACAAGGCCAUUCUCACUUCAAUUCUUCAAUUUCUUUUUGAAAUAAUUGAUAGCUAACUCAUUUGAACUAGCAUUAUCAACAGUAAUGGUGAAUACCCUUUCUAUGCCCCAUUCAAGUAAACAAGGCUUAAUUACCUUUCCAAUUAUCUCCCCUUUACGGCAGGUACUAUGCAAAAAUUUAAAAUUCUCUUAUGCAAUUUCCAUUCACUAUCAAUAAAAUGGGUUGUAAUUACCAUAUAGUAAUAAUUUUGUAUAGAAGUCCAUGCAUAUGUGGUUAUACAAACCAUUUGCUUAUUUGAAACAAAAAAGUUUCUCAAUGUUUGCUUUUCAUCCCAAAAAAGUUUGUACACAUCUCUAGUAAGGGUUCUCCUAGAUGGUAGAUCAAAGUUUGGUUCCAAUUACUUACUAUAUUGUUAAAAACCCUUUUUUCUCCACAAAGCUAAAGGGCAUUUCAACAAUAAUAAUUAACCGUGUAAGGGCUUUUCUACAUGCUUCUUUAUGAAAGACAUGAGACUUAAAUUCAUCUUUCUUUUCAUGUGAAGUUAUUUGAUUUUCAUCCUCAAAUGUGCUCAAAUAAUCAGGACAAUGAAGCAAAUGAUUCCUUAAUGCACUAGUCCUAAUUUUAGUCCCAUGUUUAUUCUUACAAGUAGAAUCAUUACCACAAUAAUUACACUUGCAUCUAUUACCUGGAUCGUAUUUAGUGAAACGGUCUCAUAUUUUUUAUCUCUCUGAUUCUUGCUGUGAGUAGUUGCCAAGUGUCCAUGGAAUUAGUAUUAUAACAACUUGAGUUCUCAUUUAUCUAAAAUUAAUUUUUAAAAAAAUCAUAGAACUUUAAGCCAAUUCAGCAAAAACUUUUUCCAAAUAUAAGUAAUAACAACAACAGUGGCAGUAAGAGCAUCAAGUUUUUGAAAAAAGAUUUCAAGCAUCAUACAAUCCCUAUGGCACCAAAAUCUGCAAAUAUUCUCCAAAACGAAAAUAUGCCAGAGAAACUAUUCUGAUCAUCAUGCAUUGUAUUAAUCUUUUUUUUGUUAAGUAUUCAACAUUCAAUCUAGUUUCCAGUCAACUUUCAUUUUCAAACAUAAAAUUAUAAAAAUCUUUUAUUCUUGAAAUCAACUACCACAUGGUGGGGCAAUUUUGUCGUUGAAUAGUAGAUGCAAUACUAGCAAAGGCUAAACAUGUCGAUUCAAGAUCCUUUACAUUGUUCUAUGUGAAUAAUUAUUUAAUUAAUGCAUUCUUCUAAGGGUAAAGUUAAACAUACGAUGACCAAUUCACCUUGAAUUGGUUUCAGCAAAUUAGUUUACUAAUGGUCAUAUAUCAACAAAUUAGUUUCAACAUAUUUAAGUGUGAGUGGUUUCAUUAGUUCCCCAUUUUCAUCACAACACUAUGAUGACCAAUUCUACUCUGAUGACCACUUCACCUAGAAUUCUGAAGGAAAAAAAGGGUGUUUAGGAACCAAAACUUAGAACUUAUAAAAGCAAUUUUAGCAAAGAAAACCAUAAUAAAAAAAUGAAAGAAAGAAAAUAAAAAAAACAAGUGCCAGAAUCGUAUAUUCACAAAUCCCAUAAACCGAAAUCAAAACCUUUCAAAAGAAACAAAUAUUCCAAUUAAAUCACAAGUAAACAAGUCCAAGUAAUUAAAUUCACUAGUUCCAACAUACCCAUUAGGCAAAUCACUUAAACUAUCAAAUAAACAAAGUUAUUCUUACAAAUUAAGUUCUACCCAUUGAACACAAAUACAAGAGCAUCUAAAAAUAUGUAAAACAAAUUUAGUGCCAGCAAAACAAAAUUCAAGCAUUAUAGGGCCCCGCCAUAGUAGUAACAAAAAAAAAAAAAAAUUGAAGCUUUUGUAACAGAGCCUUACCUUAAAUCAAUAGAAAGGUUGUAAUCGAAGUGGGGGGCUUCAAGAAUUGAUGACAAUCGACUGAGAGAUCCGCGACGUCACUUUUGUUGACAAAGAUUGUAAAAGAUGGAGUGAGAUAGAGAGAUUCAACUUUUUUUUUUAAUUUUGUUUAGUUUUGGAAAUUUGUUCAUGGCCAACGGGUAAACUAUACCCAAACCAUUAUUAAAUGUUUUCUUACAUUAAAACACAAAUCUAACCCAUUUUCAUGAUUUACUCAGUUCAAGCCAUUUUAUUUAGUUUGGGUUUAGGUAAACCCAUGGGUUGUGGGUUUAUCCCCACACCUAUGAGGAAUUUACCAUUGGUAGCUACAAUGGAGAGAAUGAAAACUCAUUUUUUUCUUUUGAAUGAAAGAAACCCGUUGUUGAAAUGAGGUUUAAUAAUAAUAAUUAAUAAUUAUUAGAGAAUGUAGUUUACACUAAUUAAGGGUAUUUUUAUCAUUGAUGGAGGUGUUGAAAGAAUUAUAGUUUUUAAAAAUAUUUCAUGGGGUUAAUUAAGAAAAAGGGCGUUAACAGAUAUUUAGAGGGGUGCCAAUUGUCCCACUAAAGUUUGGGUCCUCAUUGAGACCCAUUCAUGCCUAGCUGAUAUAUACAGAUAUGGGAUAGGGUAUGGCUUUAAUUAAGUUAGAUUUUCAAGUUUGGCUGGGACCUAGCAGAACCCUAGCAUAUACUAUAAUUGCAAGGAUUUAAACUUCUAAUUAGACCUUCAUUGUAAUAUGUUUAUGGUAAUUAACAUAUCUUUUAAUAAAAAUACUAAUCAAGGCAUAGCAUAAAGAAAAAAGGCUAAAAAGCCUCUAAUUGCUACUAAUUAACCAAAAAUUUCAUCAGAAAACUGCAGAAGUGAAAUCAGGAUAUUCCAACUUUCAAGUUUAACUUAUUUGUUUAUUUAUAUAUGUGGAAAUAUUUUCAAGAACAACUUUGAACCCCAACCCAAUACUAGAGUUAAAGUUCUUGACUAAUCAAAGAUACAAUGUGACUUGCUAAGUGCGCUUGUAGACCAAAAAAAUGUAGAGUGAGAUAAACCAAACUAAUUUACCUGGCCAAAAUAAUGCUACCAUAAUAUUCAAUAAUUGAGACAUGUGUUUGUUGUAUCAAAUUAUUUUCGCAAUUGUUUUGCUAAUUGAGUUAGAACAGCUUCGAAAUGUAUAUAAGGUCAUUUACAAAACUAAAUGCAAAUGAAAUAAUAAUGAAAAAGAAAUAAACUAUGAUUAUAUAAUUCAAUUUACAAACACAAUAUAAUCUACAUGAAAGUGAUAUAAAAAUAUGCAGAACAAUUCCAAACUAGACUAAUAACAAUAUUUGAACUUACCCAAAAGUGUCUACAAGGAAACACCAACCUAAAUCUACAUGGUUUUAUCCUACUAAUUCAAUUUUGAUAGGGAUCAUUUUAU
rnacentral:lncRNA from 1 species